rnacentral:rRNA from 1 species
AUUGAACGCUGGCGGCAUGCCUUACACAUGCAAGUCGAACGGCAGCGGGGGAGAAGCUUGCUUUUCCUGCCGGCGAGUGGCGAACGGGUGAGUAAUACAUCGGAACGUGCCCUGUAGUGGGGGAUAACUAGUCGAAAGAUUAGCUAAUACCGCAUACGACCUGAGGGUGAAAGUGGGGGACCGCAAGGCCUCAUGCUAUAGGAGCGGCCGAUGUCUGAUUAGCUAGUUGGUGGGGUAAAGGCCUACCAAGGCGACGAUCAGUAGCUGGUCUGAGAGGACGAUAGGCCCAACGGGGACGGAGGCACGGCCCAUGCGCCUACGGGAGGCAGCAGUGGGGAAUUUUGGACAAUGGGCGAAAGCCUGAUCCAGCAAUGCCGCGUGUGUGAAGAAGGCCUUCGGGUUGUAAAGCACUUUUGUCCGGAAAGAAAUGGCUCUGGUUAAUACCUGGGGUCGAUGACGGUACCGGAAGAAUAAGGACCGGCUAACUACGUGCCAGCCGCCGCCGUAA